GUGCUUGCUUUGGCAGCACCUAUACUAAAACAUCUGGAAUGAUACAGAGAAGACUAGUGCAUGGCCCCUACACAAGGGCAACAUGUAAAUUCAUGAAGCAUUUCAUAUUUAA
rnacentral:snRNA from 1 species